CUCCCCUCAUUCAUUGAUGUACUGGAUCCAUCACCGUCUCCAAGCGAUUCAACAAACAGAUUCUUGGCGAUUUAAUCAUCCCCAAGGUCAGAAUUCGCAUCAUAUAUAAUGUUAUAACCCGACUCUUUUCUUUCAUAUACCUCACAUUCUCCCAAACGGCGAUUACGGUUUUCAUCCUUCACAAUCUAGGGUUUCUCCAUGUGCGAUACCUCCUCUUCUUUGCUACGAUCCAGGAUCAAACCCUAGAUUUCCUGCUCCUCCAUCGACGCCCCAUCUCGAUUCACACUGGGAUCCUCAGAUGUCUUCAAAUCAAGCCAGGGUUUCUUGAUCUUCGGUCGCUUUUCUUUUCUAACAGUUAAAUGCGGUCGACACCAAGAUUCAUGUUAAGCGAUUCCAUAUACAUUGAAAGAGAAACAAUCUAUUUUGGUUUAAGGUACUGGAAGCCGUGCAUAAGGAGAAGUAAAGGGGAUUACUGGUUGUGGUUUACAAUCGUGCUGGUGGUGGUUGGGGUGAAGCU